CCAGCGGUGAUGAGCCUCUAACAUGUAAGAAGAAAUCCGUAGUUGGGUUUCCUUCAAUGAAAUUUACUUGUUACGCUUGGCUUCUGAGCUUU
rnacentral:snoRNA from 1 species